rnacentral:rRNA from 1 species
UAAGCAUAUCAAUAAGCGGAGGAAAAGAAACCAACAGGGAUUGCCCCAGUAGCGGCGAGUGAAGCGGCAAAAGCUCAGAUUUGGAAUCGCUUCGGCGAGUUGUGAAUUGCAGGUUGGCGCCUCUGCGGCGGCGGCGGUCCAAGUCCCUUGGAACAGGGCGCCAUUGAGGGUGAGAGCCCCGUGGGACCGUUUGCCUAUGCUCUGAGGCCCUUCUGACGAGUCGAGUUGUUUGGGAAUGCAGCUCUAAGCGGGUGGUAAAUUCCAUCUAAGGCUAAAUACUGGCGAGAGACCGAUAGCGAACAAGUACUGUGAAGGAAAGAUGAAAAGCACUUUGAAAAGAGAGUGAAACAGCACGUGAAAUUGUUGAAAGGGAAGGGUAUUGCGCCCGACAUGGAGCGUGCGCACCGCUGCCCCUCGUGGGCGGCGCUCUGGGCGUGCUCUGGGCCAGCAUCGGUUUUUGCCGCGGGAGAAGGGCGGCGGGCAUGUAGCUCUUCGGAGUGUUAUAGCCUGCCGCCGGCGCCGCGAGCGGGGACCGAGGACUGCGACUUUUGUCUCGGAUGCUGGCACAACGGCGCAACACCGCC